rnacentral:rRNA from 1 species
UACGUAGGGGGCAAGCGUUGUCCGGAUUUAUUGGGCGUAAAGCGCGUGUAGGCGGCCAGAUAGGUCUGCUGUGAAAACUCGAGGCUCAACCUCGAGCUGUCGGCGGAAACCAUCUGGCUAGAGUCCGGAAGAGGAGAGUGGAAUUCCUGGUGUAGCGGUGAAAUGCGCAGAUAUCAGGAAGAACACCUAUGGCGAAGGCAGCUCUCUGGGACGGUACUGACGCUGAGACGCGAAAAGCGUGGGGGAGCGAACGG